UACGAAGGGUGCAAGCGUUAAUCGGAAUUACUGGGCGUAAAGGGUGCGUAGGCGGUUCGUUAAGUCUGUCGUGAAAUCCCCGGGCUCAACCUGGGAAUGGCGAUGGAUACUGGCGAGCUAGAGUGUGUCAGAGGAUGGUGGAAUUCCCGGUGUAGCGGUGAAAUGCGUAGAGAUCGGGCGGAACACCAGCGGCGAAGGCGGCAUCCUGGCACGUACCUGACGCUGAGGCGCGAGAGCGUGGGGAGCAAACCGG
rnacentral:rRNA from 1 species